ensembl:snoRNA
AAGACUAUACUUUUAAGGAUCAUUUCUAUAAUUUGUUACUAGAGAACUUUCUCUAAUUGUCUCAAGUACCCAAAACCAUGAGAAGGAGGUGUAGUGUUCUUUCCUGAGCAUGAAGCUGGCUCUAGGUGGUGUUUCUGCAACUGUCUUCUGCCAUUGAUGAUGGUUCUUCUCCUCCUUUGGGUAAGAGGGAGAGGACACAGUCUGAGUGGUU